rnacentral:rRNA from 1 species
GUCUACAGCCAUGCUACCCUGAACAAGCCCGAUGUCUGAUCUUGGAAGCUAAGCAGGGUCGGGCCUGGUUAGUACUUGGAUGGGAGACCACUUAGGAAGACGAGGUGCUAUAGGCA